rnacentral:rRNA from 1 species
GAUGAACGCUGGCGGCGUGCCUAACACAUGCAAGUCGAACGGAGAUUACGGACGGAAGUUUUCGGAUGGAAGACUGUAAUUCUUAGUGGCGGACGGGUGAGUAACGCGUGGGCAACCUGCGCUAUACAGGGGGAUAGCAGCUGGAAACGGCUGGUAAGACCGCAUAAGUCGGUUAAAUCGCAUGAUUUGAUCGGGAAAUGAGCAAUCAGGUAUAGGAUGGGCCCGCGUCCGAUUAGCCAGUUGGCAGGGUAAAAGCCUACCAAAGCGACGAUCGGUAGCCGGACUGAGAGGUCGGACGGCCACAUUGGGACUGAGACACGGCCCAAACUCCUACGGGAGGCAGCAGUGGGGGAUAUUGCACAAUGGAGGAUACUCUGAUGCAGCGACGCCGCGUGAGUGAAGAAGUAUUUCGGUAUGUAAAGCUCUAUCAGCAGGGAAGAUGAUGACGGUACCUGACUAAGAAGCCCCGGCUAACUACGUG